UAUUGGACAAUGGGCGCAAGCCUGAUCCAGCAAUACCGCGUGUGUGAAGAAGGCCUUAGGGUUGUAAAGCACUUUCAAUCGGGAGGAAAACCUGCCGGUCAAUACCCGGUAGCUUGACAUUACCUUUAGAAGAAGCACCGGCUAACUCCGUGCCAGCAGCCGCGGUAAUACGGAGGGUGCGAGCGUUAAUCGGAAUUACUGGGCGUAAAGCGUGCGUAGGCGGUUCGUUAAGUCAGAUGUGAAAGCCCUGGGCUCAACCUGGGAACUGCAUUUGAAACUGGCGGACUAAAGUUUAGUAGAGGGGAGUGGAAUUUCAGGUGUAGCGGUGAAAUGCGUAGAUAUUUGAAGGAACACCAGUGGCGAAGGCGACUCCCUGGACUAGAACUGACGCUGAGUACGAAA
rnacentral:rRNA from 1 species